rnacentral:rRNA from 1 species
CCUACGGGAGGCAGCAGUGGGGAAUAUUGCACAAUGGGGGAAACCCUGAUGCAGCGACGCCGCGUGAGUGAAGAAGUAUUUCGGUACGUAAAGCUCUAUCAGCAGGGAAGAAAAUGACGGUACCUGACUAAGAAGCCCCGGCUAACUACGUGCCAGCAGCCGCGGUAAUACGUAGGGGGCAAGCGUUAUCCGGAUUUACUGGGUGUAAAGGGAGCGUAGACGGCAGCGCAAGUCUGGAGUGAAAUCCCAUGGCUUAACCAUGGAACUGCUUUGGAAACUGUGCAGCUAGAGUGCAGGAGAGGUAAGCGGAAUUCCUAGUGUAGCGGUGAAAUGCGUAGAUAUUAGGAGGAACACCAGUGGCGAAGGAGGCUUACUGGACUGUAACUGACGUUGAGGCUCGAAAGCGUGGGGAGCAAACAGGAUUAGAUACCCGGGUAGUC